UUCACUCCAACCCCUGUGACAUACCACUUGUUGCCUCGGCGGAUCAGCCCGCUCCCGGUAAAACGGGACGGCCCGCCAGAGGACCCCUAAACUCUGUUUCUAUAUGUAACUUCUGAGUAAAACCAUAAAUAAAUCAAAACUUUCAACAACGGAUCUCUUGGUUCUGGCAUCGAUGAAGAACGCAGCAAAAUGCGAUAAGUAAUGUGAAUUGCAGAAUUCAGUGAAUCAUCGAAUCUUUGAACGCACAUUGCGCCCGCCAGUAUUCUGGCGGGCAUGCCUGUUCGAGCGUCAUUUCAACCCUCAAGCACAGCUUGGUGUUGGGACUCGCGUUAAUUCGCGUUCCUCAAAUUGAUUGGCGGUCACGUCGAGCUUCCAUAGCGUAGUAGUAAAACCCUCGUUACUGGUAAUCGUCGCGGCCACGCCGUUAAACCCCAACUUCUGAAUGUUGACCUCGGAUCAGGUAGGAAUACCCGCUGAACUUAAGCAUAUCAAUAGUCGGAGGAAGGGAUCAUUACCGAGUUUAAA
rnacentral:rRNA from 1 species